CACUGCACCAGAUGGAGAUGGACCAGUAACUUACACAGUCUCAUCUCUCACUGCUGGGACUAAAUACACAUUCACUCUCUUCUCUGUGUUUGAGAACAUCAGAAGCAGUGGAGUCAUCAUCACUGCAGCUACUGCUCCUCAAAAUGCUGCAAACUUCACAUUAUCAG